CGUCAGUCCAAGCCCACGCCUGCGUGAACAAGCAGAGCAGGGCGACUGUAGCGUAGGAGUGACCACGCGAGCGAGUGUUUGCUGCAGUCGGCGAUAGCGUUGGGGUGCGCUGCUGGCGGGGAUCGCUACGAAGAACCUGCCACCUUGCCACUUCGCAAAUUGUUACUCACAGCUCUUGUUUUUGCUGAGACGAGGUUGAAGGAGCUGAAAGCCGAGCUCGCUGCCUUUACCGGGGGUGCGCCGAACAUGUUGUCUAGAUAUGUGAUCAGUCUGGAUGUUCGUGGUCUGGGUCCUUUCUUUGCGAGUAGAUAUAUUUGUAGCCAAUUGAUACCUUUUGUGAAUGCUCCAACCCGAGCAUCAUGGACGUGAUUUUUGUUUAUUUUUUGUUCUUUCUCAUGUUCUGUCGUGAGUCCAGGAUUACAGAGCACUGGAUUUUUUUGUGUGCUGUUAAUUUAUCACGGUAGCUCAAAGAAUUUGUUUGACUGAGGGUUCAUUGCAAUCUCUCCCGAUAAUGCCAAGUUUUUGUGGGGAUCUUGGAUGUAUGUCUUUGCAACAACUGAAAACUUCUCCCUAGCAACAUGCAAACUUUAGAGUACAAAGGUUAGGAAUAGGAGGCAUGAGAAAAGAAAGAAAAAUUCUCAAACUAAUGGCCAAAUGGAGUGGGUCAACCAAAUUCUUGAGCAAUAUUUGAGGUGCACCAUCAACUAUCAAGAAGACAAGUGAACUUCCUACUUGUCAUUGGCAGAGUUUGCAUAUAACAAUACAAUCUAUGCAUCUAUGCAAGAAACACCAUUCUACUCAAACUACAAUCAUCAUCCAAAGUUGGAUGUAAUAGAGCAUUCAAAGUCGACAAAUCUAGUAGCAAAGGAAUUUGCUACAAAGAUGGCCAAACUUCAAGCAACCAUAAAGACUCACCUUGAAAAGGCUCAACAACGUUAUAAGCUAGUAGCAAAUGAAUUGAAGAAAGAACAUCCUCCAUUCCAAGUUGGUGACAAAGUAUGGCUUCUUUGGU